GCAUAUCAAUAAGCGGAGGAAAAGAAACCAACAGGGAUUGCCCUAGUAACGGCGAGUGAAGCGGCAACAGCUCAAAUUUGAAAUCUGGCUCUCUUUGGGGGUCCGAGUUGUAAUUUGCAGAGGAUGCUUUGGCAUUGGCGGCGGUCUAAGUUCCUUGGAACAGGACAUCACAGAGGGUGAGAAUCCCGUACGUGGUCGCCUGCCCUUGCCGUGUAAAGCUCCUUCGACGAGUCGAGUUGUUUGGGAAUGCAGCUCUAAAUGGGAGGUAAAUUUCUUCUAAAGCUAAAUACUGGCCAGAGACCGAUAGCGCACAAGUAGAGUGAUCGAAAGAUGAAAAGUACUUUGGAAAGAGAGUCAAAAAGCACGUGAAAUUGUUGAAAGGGAAGCGCUUGCAGCCAGACUUGCCCGCAGUUGCUCACCUAGGCUUUCGCCUGGGGCACUCUUCUGCGGGCAGGCCAGCAUCAGUUUGGGCGGUUGGAUAAAGGCCUCUGUCACGUAUCUCCCUUCGGGGUGACCUUAUAGGGGAGGCGCAAUGCAACCAGCCCGGACUGAGGUCCGCGCAUCUGCUAGGAUGCUGGCGUAAUGGCUGUAAGCGGCCCGUCUUGAAACACGGACCAAGGAGUCUAACAUCUAUGCGAGUGUUUGGGUGUCAAGCCCGAGCGCGCAAUGAAAGUGAACGGAGGUGGGAACCCUUUGGGUGCACCAUCGACCGAUCCUGAUGUCUUCGGAUGGAUUUGAGUAAGAGCAUAGCUGUUGGGACCCGAAAGAUGGUGAACUAUGCUUGAAUAGGGUGAAGCCAGAGGAAACUCUGGUGGAGGCUCGCAGCGGUUCUGACGUGCAAAUCGAUCGUCAAAUUUGGGCAUAGGGGCGAAAGACUAAUCGAAC
rnacentral:rRNA from 1 species